UUUUUUUUUCCCUGAUUACUCUGAUACUAAUAUUGGUAGAUCCCAAAUAAUUGAUGAAUGCAUAGCCGCUGUGUUGUAAAAACACAAAAUAGGACUGCAAGUAUUACUACAAAGCUUUAAAAUAGAGAAAAGAUUACGAUAAUUGAUGAACAUCUCUUUCCCUCGACUCCACAGAAACUAUCCUUGUUGCAAUUCUAAAUUAUGUGUUGCUAAAGUUUUGGUCAACAGGUGCAUAUAAUUGGAAUUGAGAGUUUAAAUCAUGCUCAAACAAUCUCUAGCUAAGUACCUUUUUCUAACUACACUUGUGCUUAUCUUGUUGGUGAUUCAAAUGAUUCCAGUUAUCGAAAAGAGUAGGACAUAAGACAGUUCUUCUUUCUGUUUUUAGGCCCAUCGUUCAAAUAGAUGGCUAAAUUAGAAUGAUAAAUAGUAAGUGCAAACUGAUUUGAUCCUAAGAACUAGUUCUUUCAAUUUCCCUUCAUUUUGAAUUGAGUACUGAAAUGCUUAGGACGGACCUACAGCGUUAGUCUCAGGUCUGCCAUUGCCUUUGGUGAAAGACAAUUUUUGGAGAAUGAAAAUUGUAAUGGAGCCUGACUACCGUUCUACCUCGAAAGUUAUAUUUGGUGGUUCUUAUCCUUCUACAUAUUGUUGUAACAAUAAAAUUUUUGACCAUUUUGUGAACACGGUUAUUGAACCUAAACAAUAAUCACUAACAUACUCGAACUUACACCUCUCUGUUUAUGAACACAGUUAUUGAACCUAAACAACAAUCACUAACAUAUUCGAACUUAUAUCUCUCUGAUUCAGUCUCAGGGGAUCGUUUCUGAAAUUAUUUCAUCUCAUGGAGGGGUUUUAUGAAAGGCCGUACUGAAGGAGGUUACAUGUUCUUAGUAUUUAGCCUGUACACAUCAGUGUUGCUGUGCCUACUAUUUGAGCUCCAUUACUGCUGCUGAGUGAGUUUGAUUUAGUAUUUGUGGAUAAAAUGUCAACCCUGUCUCGUCUUCUUCUAAUUUUCUUCUUGUCAUGCUGAUUAUGACAGUGCCGUGCUUGUUAACUCUCGUGUAAUUCAACUUAAGACCAUUCUUUUUGGAAAGAUCUAGAAUAGAAUGAAGAUAUGCACAAAAUCAAAUAGACCAA
rnacentral:lncRNA from 1 species